CUGCUAGGUGUUAGGGUCCUGUCAAGGUUACAAUGAUUAGUCUGCUAGGUGUUAGGGUCCUGUCUAGGUUACAAUGAUUAGUCUGCUAGGUGUUAGGGUCCUGUCUAGGUUACAAUGAUUAGUCUGCUAGGUGUUAGGGUCCUGUCUAGGUUACAAUGAUUAGUCUGCUAGGUGUUAGGGUCCUGUCUAGGUUACAAUGAUUAGUCUGCUAGGUGUUAGGGUCCUGUCUAGGUUACAAUGAUUAGUCUGCUAGGUGUUAGGGUCCUGUCUAGGUUACAAUGAUUAGUCUGCUAGGUGUUAGGGUCCUGUCUAGGUUACAAUGAUUAGUCUGCUAGGUGUUAGGGUCCUGUCUAGGUUACAAUGAUUAGUCUGCUAGGUGUUAGGGUCCUGUCUAGGUUACAAUGAUUAGUCUGCUAGGUGUUAGGGUCCUGUCUAGGUUACAAUGAUUAGUCUGCUAGGUGUUAGGGUC